rnacentral:rRNA from 1 species
GCACAAGCAGCGGAGCGUGUGGUUUAAUUCGAUGCUACGCGAAGAACCUUACCAGGGUUUGACAUACAAGUAGUAGGGAAGGAAACUGGACCGACCCUUCGGGGAGCUUGUACAGGUGCUGCAUGGCUGUCGUCAGCUCGUGUCGUGAGAUGUUGGGUUAAGUCCCGCAACGAGCGCAACCCUUGUCAUUAGUUGCUACAUUCAGUUGGGCACUCUAAUGAGACUGCCGGUGACAAGCCGGAGGAAGGUGGGGAUGACGUCAAGUCCUCAUGGCCCUUAUAGGUGGGGCUACACACGUCAUACAAUGGCUGGUACAAAGGGUUGCCAACCCGCGAGGGGGAGCUAAUCCCAUAAAGCCAGUCGUAGUCCGGAUCGUAGUCUGCAACUCGACUACGUGAAGUCGGAAUCGCUAGUAAUCGUGGAUCAGAAUGUCACGGUGAAUACGUUCCCGGGUCUU